AGUUUUGUAUUCAUUUAUGAUUUUAAAUUGCAAAUUUAAAGGUGGUUAUUCCAAGGCUU
rnacentral:tRNA from 1 species